rnacentral:rRNA from 1 species
CAGUAGCCGCGGUAAUACGAAGGGUGCAAGCGUUAAUCGGUAUUACUGGGCGUAAAGCGUGCGUAGGCGGUGAGUUAAGUCUGCUGUGAAAUCCCCGGGCUCAACCUGGGAAUGGCAGUGGAUACUGGCAAGCUAGAGUGUGUCAGAGGAUGGUGGAAUUCCCGGUGUAGCGGUGAAAUGCGUAGAGAUCGGGAGGAACAUCAGUGGCGAAGGCGGCCAUCUGGGACAACACUGACGCUGAGGCACGAAAGCGUGGGGAGCAAACAGGAUUAGAUACCCCAGUAGUCCCUGUCUCUUAUAC